UUGAAUGGCUGUGGUUUCUGUCUCACAAUCUUAUUGUUGACAGAUAAAAGGAGGUUACAAUAUUGAAGAUGAAGUUGAAAUUCCUCUCUUCGAUGACGGUGAUGGUUCCAGUCACUACCCUAGGAUUCCCUCUGCUACCAACACCCAUACCGAUAUAGGACUAAUAUACUUACCAACAAUGGCUUCAAUCUCGCAUUCCGAUGACGAAAUUAUUUCUGACGAUGAGAAAAUCAACCUAUCGUCCCUUCAAAGUGCAAGACUGGAUACAGGUGGUACAUGGUCUGAAGCUAGUCGGGAAGUGGAGGCAUUGGUUUGGUUAAAUGAAGGUGUCUUUGUGAAAGAAAACAAAUCCUCUAAAGGUGGAGGCAGCAGAAAAAAAUCCAAGCCCAAAUUUUCAUUCGGUUCCCAUUCAUGUAUGAAAGACCUAAUUGUCACUGAUAGGUACGGCACUACAUCAUCCGACAAUAUUCCAACACCAGUUCAAAUUGGUGCUGCAGCUGAUGAAGAUAUGGAAGAAUUUAUGGGUGAGUCUAAGUUUGGUUUACAUGAUAGAAAACCUGAAGAGCCAGAAAACCAUAUAGUCCCCUUUGAACUUGCCCAUAAACAUGAUUCCAAAGAACAUUCAAUGGCUGACUUUCUGUACUGCUUCCAAGCAAAGAACGAAAUGCUGCAAGGGAGUUCAGAACCGGAGAUAAAGAGAAGAGGAAGAAGAGCGCAUAUAGUCUUAGAAAGAAAUAUGAACCCACUGGGUGAUAGAAACCUGGAUGACAAUGAUCUAUUGGAGACUUUCGAUGAUGUACCUCCCUUUCCUAGUGACGAUGAGGAGAAUCCUCAAAGUCUAAAGUCAAUUAUCCCUAGAAGUAUGGCAGAUCAGUUUCAUGAAGCUUUUGGAGUGGCCUCUGUGAUUGAUGAGAUACCCCGUGAAGCUUUUCCUCAACACUCGUGUGGUGGACUGCAUAAGAGGUUGCUGCAAGUAAUGCAGAGUGAGAAAGAAGGAGAUCUGGAUUACUUGAAGAAUAUAAGUGCAGAAACCGGUUUCAAGGAUGAAAGGAUGUGCAUUACUGUCAGAAUUUUGUCAAGGUCUCUGGAAGCAAAGCUGAUUGUUUGUUCUUGCACUUGUGUUGGAGAUGGAAAGAACUCAUAUUGGGAGAAUAACUUGAAAUUGAGAACUAACGAUUCAGCGAGAACUUUGACCAUCAUUUUCAAUCCAAGAAGGUGUGGGGAUGUCGAGCUCGAAGUCGACAACCUGAUUUGCGUACGCCCUCCUUGGUAUGAGUAAACACUAGAUUUUACACUUAACUUAAAUGUUACAUGCCGUUUACACAGGUCAGCCGAUACUCUUUCAAGAAAUUCCUAGAUAGCUUAAAGCUUCUAUCAAUCUAUACUUCCUCACAAUUUAAGCACUUGCUUUCAUCGAAUUUAUGUCUCAUUUGCCCGAUUUAGGUUGAGGACUAACUUGUGAUAGAAUAUACUUCUAAGUUAAAGAUCUUGUUUCUAUAUGAUGCCAGCCAUUUAUAUUUAAUGUGUCAAUUUCUCUAAUAAUGUGCGUUCAUUUGGAGCAGGAAGGAGGUGCAGGCCAUUGGGAAAGACGAAGUAAUAAUUCUAUGCUCGUAUUUUGCCCAGCUCCAGCCUUGACAAAUUCUUCAGACACGAUAUUGUUACAGUUUCUUGCCAGGAUUUUUUAAGCAAGAUUAUAGCAUUUUGGUCCCGGCACUUCGAAAAAUAUACAGUGCGAUCAUCGAUGUAUGUGAAUUUGUAAAGCUAAUAAUUAAAUCAAAUUACUUAUUUGAUUUGAGAUUGAUUGUUAAGAGCUUGUUAGGAUUUGAUUUAUAAAGCUUGGCUUGAGAGAAUCCUAUUAGUAGAAGAACACAAAAUAUGUAAAAACUAAUUUGAUUAAUGUUUGUUAAUUUUUUUCAA